GGCCUCGUAGCAUAACUGAAUAGUGCACUUGAUUACGGCUCAAGAGGUUGAAGGUUUGAAUCCUUCCGAGGUCACAA
rnacentral:tRNA from 1 species